rnacentral:rRNA from 1 species
GGAAUCGCUAGUAAUCGCGGAUCAGAAUGCCGCGGUGAAUACGUUCCCGGGUCUUGUACACACCGCCCGUCACACCAUGGGAGUUGGAAAUGCCCGAAGUCAGUGGCCCAACCGGAAGGGGGAGCUGCCGAAGGCAGGUUCGAUGACUGGGGUGAAGUCGUAACAAGGUAUC